AGCGAACGCUGGCGGCAGGCUUAACACAUGCAAGUCGAGCGGGCCUUUCGGGGUCAGCGGCGGACGGGUGAGUAACGCGUGGGAACGUGCCCUCUGGUUCGGAAUAACUCAGGGAAACUUGAGCUAAUACCGGAUACGCCCUUUUGGGGAAAGGCUUGCUGCCGGAGGAUCGGCCCGCGUCUGAUUAGCUAGUUGGUGAGGUAACGGCUCACCAAGGCGACGAUCAGUAGCUGGUCUGAGAGGAUGAUCAGCCACACUGGGACUGAGACACGGCCCAGACUCCUACGGGAGGCAGCAGUGGGGAAUAUUGGACAAUGGGCGCAAGCCUGAUCCGGCCAUGCCGCGUGAGUGAUGAAGGCCUUAGGGUUGUAAAGCUCUUUUAUCCGGGACGAUAAUGACGGUACCGGAGGAAUAAGCCCCGGCUAACUUCGUG
rnacentral:rRNA from 1 species